GUGGGGAAUUUUGCGCAAUGGGCGAAAGCCUGACGCAGCAACGCCGCGUGGGUGACGAAGUCCCUUGGGACGUAAAACCCUGUCGGCUGGGACGAAACUUCCCGCAAGGGAAACUGACUGUACCAGCAAAGGAAGCCCCGGCUAACUCCGUGCCAGCAGCCGCGGUAAUACGGGGGGGGCAAGCGUUGUUCGGAAUUACUGGGCGUAAAGGGCGUGUAGGCGGCUUGGUAAGUCAGUUGUGAAAGCCCCAGGCUCAACUUGGGAAUUGCAACUGAAACUGCCUGGCUAGAGUUCAGGAGAGGAGAGCGGAACUCCCAGUGUAGCGGUGAAAUGCGUAGAUAUUGGGAGGAACACCGGUGGCGAAGGCGGCUCUCUGGACUGAAACUGACGCUGAGGCGCGAAAGCUAGGGGAGCAAACGGGAUUAGAUACCCCUGUAGUCC
rnacentral:rRNA from 1 species